CCUACGGGGGGCAGCAGUAGGGAAUCUUCCACAAUGGGCGAAAGCCUGAUGCAGCAACGCCGCGUGGGUGAAGAAGGUCUUCGGAUCGUAAAACCCUGUUGUUAGAGAAGAAAGUGCGUGAGAGUAACUGUUCACGUUUCGACGGUAUCUAACCAGAAAGCCACGGCUAACUACGUGCCAGCAGCCGCGGGAAUACGGAGGUGGCAAGCGUUAUCCGGAUUUAUUGGGCGUAAGGGGAACGCAGGCGGUCUUUUAAGUCUGAUGGGAAAGCCUUCGGCUUAACCGGAGUAGUGCAUUGGAAACUGGGAAGCUUGAAUGCAGAAGAGGGGAGUGGAACUCCAUGGGUAGCGGUGAAAUGCGUAGAUAUAUGGAAGAACACCAGUGGCGAAAGCGGGUCUCUGGUCUGUAAAUGACG
rnacentral:rRNA from 1 species